GUCACUAUGUGGUUUAUAGAGUUACAGGUCAAUACGGGGUUUAUAGAGUUACAGGUCACUACGUGGUUUAUAGAGUUACAGGUCACUACAGGGUUUAUAGAGUUACAGGUCAAUAUGUGGUUUAUAGAGUUACAGGUCACUAUGUGGUUUAUAGAGUUACAGGUCAAUACGGGGUUUAUAGAGUUACAGGUCAAUACGGGGUUUAUAGAGUUACAGGUCACUAUGUGGUUUAUUACAGUUACAGGUCACUAUGUGGUUUAUAGAGUUACAGGUCAAUAUGUGGUUUAUUACAGUUACAGGUCACUAUGUGGUUUAUAGAGUUACAGGUCAAUAUGUGGUUUAUUACAGUUACAGGUCACUAUGUGGUUUAUAGAGUUACAGGUCAAUAUGUGGUUUAUUACAGUUACAGGUCACUAUGUGGUUUAUAGAGUUACAGGUCAAUACGGGGUUUAUAGAGUUACAGGUCAAUACAUGGUUUAUAGAUUUUUAUUACAUAGCUUAUAUGUUUAUAACAUGGUAUAUAUGUCUAUAACAUGUUUAUAGAUCUUUAUAAACAUACAAUAGAAUCACUCAAUUGACCUAAUUGGAUGUACAAAGUUUGUUGUGUGU
rnacentral:lncRNA from 1 species